ACAGUGACUGGUAGAGGAAAAGGC
rnacentral:piRNA from 1 species